GCCAGCGUAGCUCAGUCGGUAGAGCACCGCUUUCGUAAAGCGGAAGUCGUGGGUUCGAGUCCCACCGCUGGCU
rnacentral:tRNA from 1 species